CUACGGGGGGCUGCAGUGAGGAAUCUUGCGCAAUGGGGGAAACCCUGACGCAGCGACGCCGCGUGGGUGAUGAAGGCCUUCGGGUCGUAAAGCCCUGUCGAGAGGGAAGAAUUGCAUUUAGGUUAAUAGCCUAAUUGUUUGACGGUACCUCCAAAGGAAGCACCGGCUAACUCCGUGCCAGCAGCCGCGGUAAUACGGAGGGUGCAAGCGUUGUUCGGAAUCACUGGGCGUAAAGGGCGUGUAGGCGGCUGAGUAAGUCAGGUGUGAAAUCCCUCGGCUCAACCGAGGAAGUGCAUUUGAUACUGCUUAUCUUGAGUACUGGAGAGGGGGGUGGAAUUCCCGGUGUAGAGGUGAAAUUCGUAGAUAUCGGGAGGAACACCAGUGGCGAAGGCGAUCUCCUGGACAGAUACUGACGCUAAGGCGCGAAAGCGUGGGGAGCAAACAGGAUUAGAUACCCUGGUAGUC
rnacentral:rRNA from 1 species